rnacentral:rRNA from 1 species
AUGCUCCUCCUCCUCCGGCAGCGCAUCCUCUCCCAUCUCCUCUCCGCGGCACCAGAUCCUUCCACCUCUCCACUCCUCUCUCUCCACCGCCUCCUCUCCGCCGCCACGCCCGCCAUUUCCCCGAACCCUAGCUUCGCCGUGGAGGACUACCUCGUCGGCACCUGCGGCCUCACCCGAGCCCAGGCACUCAAGGCCUCCGCCAAGCUCUCCCACCUCAGGUCCCCCUCCAAGCCCGAUGCCGUGCUCGCCUUCCUCGCCGGCCUCGGCCUCUCCGGCGCCGACGUGGCCGCCCUCGUCGCCAGGGACCCGCUCUUCCUCUGCGCCGGCGUGGAGAGAACUCUGGACCCCGUCGUCGCUGGGCUGACCGGCCUCGGCCUGUCAAAUGCUGAGACUGCGCGCCUCAUCUCGCUUGCACCGGACAGUUUCCGCCGCAGAUCCGUCGUCUCCAAGCUAGAGUACUACCUGCCGCUCUUCGGCUCCAUCGACAACUUGCUCCGGCCCCUCAAACACGGCUCCGGCUUCCUCUGCUCCGACCUAGAGAGGGGUGUCAAGCCCAAUGUCAAGCUCCUAGCAGAGUGCGGGCUAGGUGCUUGUGAUAUUGCCAAGCUCUUCAUCCGUGUACCGAGGAUACUUUGUGCCAAACCAGGGCGUGUCGUGACGAUGAUUGCGCGCGCCGAAGAUAUAGGUGUGCCUCGUGGCUCUGGAAUGUUCAGGCAAGCGCUGCACGCCGUCUCAUACUUCAGCCAGCACAAGAUCACUGCCAAACUGGACUACUUGAAGAAGACACUUAGGUGGUCAGAUACCGAGGUUGGCAUUGCGGUGUCCAAGGCUCCGGUGUUGCUGACAAGGUCACAUGAUGUGCUGCAGCGUAUGUCAGAGUUCCUUAUCUCUGAGGUGGGGUUGGAGCCGGCCUACAUUGCUCAUCGCCCCGUUAUGCUCACUUACAGCCUGGAGGGCCGGCUCAGGCCCCGCUACUGUGUUGUGAAAUUUCUCAAGGAAAAUGGAUUGCUAGAGCACGGGCGGAGCUACUAUACAUCACUGAUUAGGACUGAGAAGGUUUUCACGGAAAAGUUCAUAUGCCCUCACAAGGAAGCCGCACCACACCUCGCUGAGGACUACGCGGCUGCUUGCAAAGGGGAAGUGCCGGCUAGAUUCAGAUUUACAUGA